ACCUCCUAGAGUACCCGGCCUAUGACGUCAGCACGCUGACGUCGACGCACAGAGGUCGCAUCUCGCCCCAGGGACCAAAGACCCGGUAAGGGCCAGAGAGCCCCUAUAGCAGAGCGGCGAUUGACAUAAUAUUUUCCAUGGCAAUGCUGCAUCUCCAGCUCUUCCCUAUGAACUUCAUGUGAGCCAUGAGCUAAGCUGGACAUUGAUGUCUACCUUUCAGAUGGUUGGUGCCAUAAAAGGAACACAUGCAUGCAGGAAAAAACUAAAGGAGAUUUAGUGAAUUGAGGAGACAACUGCAGGUGAUUUAAAAGGAAGGAGUGCAAAGAAAGAGCCAAUGACACUUAAGUGGCCAAGUAGUUUACAAGCAGUCAUUAAGGAAUCAUCACUAAUAUGGUAUUAUCCUUCCCAUGUGCAAUCACAUGAGCAAGUAUAGGAGGACCAUGAGGCUGCUUCAUUCACCCAGACUCCAAUUGCAUGUAUUUCAUUUGUGUAUACAAAUCUUCCAUCACCUCUAACUGUUAAUAAGGUAAGAGGUUCUCUUUUUGUACUUUGCCAAUUACAUAUGGAACAAUCAGCCAUUGAGUAAUUUGAUCAUGUUUAUUAUAAACAGAUCACCCUUUCCCUCAUUUUGUAAUAUUACUUGGAUUUCUCCAUGGUAGUUUGGGUCUAUAACUCUCCUACAGACACAAAUUAAAGUGGAGGAAGUCUUGUUCAGGCUUCAGACGCAGGAGAGCAGGCUUCUAACCUGCUUCUGACCUGCCUGGAGACUGCUUGGAUUCCAUGUCUGCCUGCAAGCACAGCAAGUUAGGUGGCACUUUAGAUAAGAAAGAGAGUGUGUCUUGGAAUUCUUGAGCCCCUGAGGGUCUGGCCAAGCCCCUGGAGUCUAAAGAAAUCCUAUGACUUACCAAAUGAAACAAUCAGCAUUGUAAUAGUUAAAAUAAAAACAAAACAGAGCUGCAUUUUUGCAUGCAAACUGAUGAUAUCAGCUUGUGGCCUGAGAUUAUAAGUGGGUGUUCCCAAAACUACAGUUUGAAGUAUCAACCAUGAGAUGGAUGCACUGCUGGGGACCUUUUCCUAAUUGGGACUCCAGAUUGCCGUUAACAAGGGACUUCUCAGCACUGUUUAAGUCUGGAUGUUGGUCAGCCCAAUUUGGUGAUGUAUAUAUAUGCUGUUACUUUUCUCUAUUAUUUCUUUCUUUUCUUUUAAUGACUGUAUACUGAAAUUAAGUCAAUUAAUUCUCUCUUAAAUAUUGAAAUUGUUUAUUGUUCAUGAUAAGUGGUUUCUUUUGUUAAUCUUUCAAACCUAAAACAAAAAUUAAACUUUCAGCCAAACAUAGGCGUUUUAGGUAGUUUAGGAUAGAAGAUGUAAGUAAACAGCUAUGUUUACCUUCUCCUACUCUUACAGGACAACCAUCCCUGAAAGCAUUAGAAAUAAAACACAAAACAAGCCUCCUGAGGAGGAGAGAUACUUCAGCAAGAAUAUUUUAGUUCUGACACUCUUCAUAAGAUCCAGAAGCCUAGAGACACAAAGUUUAGGUUUGAUGAGAAUAAAAGAAUGGGCAACUACUAAGAAACUAUGGUACUUAAAAAAUGCUUUUACUAAACAUUUGGCCACCUGUUAGGAAUUCUUAAGAGUUGAGCUUGAAUGAAAUUUUGUCAGAGAUACUGGUAGAAAUUAUAGUGAUGAAAAACUAACAUCAAAACUAACAACAACAACAAAAAUAAGCAUUAGUAUGGGCUAUUCAACAAUAGUUUUUCUAAAAGUGUUGGCAUUUAGAUGUGGAAAGUUAACUACCUGCCACGUAUAGCUACUUAUACCAGAACUACCCCUAUUAGGGGCUUCCCUGGUGGCUUGGAUGGUAACAAAUCUGCCUGCAAUGCAGGAGAACUGAGUUUUAUGCCCAGGUCGGGAAGAUCUCCUGAAGAAGGGUAUG